rnacentral:rRNA from 1 species
ACUCCGCUAAGCUGGCGGAGGGUGAGUACACGUGGGACGUGCCUUUAAGUUCGGAAUAACUCGGGGAAACUUGUGCUAAUACCGAAUGUGCCCUUCGGGGGAAAGAUUUGUCGCCUUUAGAGCGGCCCGCGUCUGAUUAGCUAGUUGGUGAGGUAAAGGCUCACCAAGGCGACGAUCAGUAGCUGGUCUGAGAGGAUGAUCAGCCACAUUGGGACUGAGACACGGCCCAAACUCCUACGGGAGGCAGCAGUGGGGAAUCUUGCGCAAUGGGCGAAAGCCUGACGCAUCCAUGCCGCGUGAAUGAUGAAGGUCUUAGGAUUGUAAAAUUCUUUCAGUAGGGACGAUAAUGACGGUACCUACAGAAGAAGCCCCGGCUAACUUCGUGCCAGCAGCCGCGGUAAUACGAAGGGGGCUAGCGUUGCUCGGAAUUACUGGGCGUAAAGGGAGCGUAGGCGGACAUUUAAGUCAGGGGUGAAAUCCCGGGGCUCAACCUCGGAAUUGCCUUUGAUACUGGGUGUCUUGAGUGUGAGAGAGGUAUGUGGAACUCCGAGUGUAGAGGUGAAAUUCGUAGAUAUUCGGAAGAACACCAGUGGCGAAGGCGACAUACUGGCUCAUUACUGACGCUGAGGCUCGAAAGCGUGGGGAGCAAACAGGAUUAGAUACCCUGGUAGUCCACGCCGUAAACGAUGAUUGCUAGUUGUCGGGAUGCAUGCAUUUCGGUGACGCAGCUAACGCAUUAAGCAAUCCGCCUGGGGAGUACGGUCGCAAGAUUAAAACUCAAAGGAAUUGACGGGGGCCCNNGCACAAGCGGUGGAGCAUGUGGUUUAAAUUCGAAGCAACGCGCAGARGCCCUUACCACCNUUUUUGACAUGCCUGGACCGCCAGAGAGAUCNUGGCUUUCCCUUCGGGGACUANGGACACAGGUGCUGCAUGGCUGUCGUCAGCUCGUGUCGUGAGAUGUUGGGUUAAGUCCCGCACCGAGCGCAACCCUCGCCAUUAGUUGCCAUCAUUUAGUUGGGAACUCUAAUGGGACUGCCGGUGCUAAGCCGGAGGAAGGUGGGGAUGANCGUCAAGUCCUCAUGGCCCUUACAGGGUGGGCUACACACGUGCUACAAUGGCGAGUACAGAGGGUUAAUCCUUAAAAGUCGUCUCAGUUCGGAUUGUCCUCUGCAACUCGAGGGCAUGAAGUUGGAAUCGCUAGUAAUCGCGGAUCGGCU